rnacentral:rRNA from 1 species
GUGGGGAAUAUUGGACAAUGGGCGCAAGCCUGAUCCAGCCAUGCCGCGUGUGUGAAGAAGGCCUUUUGGUUGUAAAGCACUUUAAGCGAGGAGGAGGCUCCUUUAGUUAAUACCUAAAGAGAGUGGACGUUACUCGCAGAAUAAGCACCGGCUAACUCUGUGCCAGCAGCCGCGGUAAUACGAAGGGUGCAAGCGUUAAUCGGAAUUACUGGGCGUAAAGCGCGCGUAGGUGGUUUUGUAAGUUGGAGGUGAAAUCCCUGAGCUUAACUUAGGAAUUGCAUUCGAUACUGGGAAGCUAGAGUAUGGGAGAGGAUGGUAGAAUUCCAGGUGUAGCGGUGAAAUGCGUAGAGAUCUGGAGGAAUACCGAUGGCGAAGGCAGCCAUCUGGCCUAAUACUGACGCUGAGGUACGAAAGCAUGGGGAGCAAACAGGAUUAGAAACCCUUGUAGUCC